AACAAGGUCUCCGUUGGUGAACCAGCGGAGGGAUCAUUACAGAGUUACUACUCCAAACCCAUUGUGAACCUUACCUAUGUUCUGUUGCCUCGGCGGCGUGGUCAGCGCCCCCUCUGAAAAGAGGACGAUGCCCUCCCGCCGGCAGCACCAAACUCUUGAAUUUUACAGCGGAUUACAGUUCUGAUUUGAAAACAAAAAACAAGUUAAAACUUUCAACAACGGAUCUCUUGGUUCUGGCAUCGAUGAAGAACGCAGCGAAAUGCGAUAAGUAAUGUGAAUUGCAGAAUUCAGUGAAUCAUCGAAUCUUUGAACGCACAUUGCGCCCGGCAGUAAUCUGCCGGGCAUGCCUGUCCGAGCGUCAUUUCAACCCUCGAACCUCCGUUUCCUCAGGGAAGCUCAGGGUCGGUGUUGGGGCGCUACGGCGAGUCUUCGCGACCCUCCGUAGGCCCUGAAAUACAGUGGCGGUCCCGCCGCGGUUGCCUUCUGCGUAGUAAGUCUCUUUUGCAAGCUCGCAUUGGGUCCCGGCGGAGGCCUGCCGUCAAACCACCUAUAACUCCAGAUGGUUUGACCUCGGAUCAGGUAGGGUUACCCGCUGAACUUAAGCAUAUC
rnacentral:misc_RNA from 1 species